rnacentral:rRNA from 1 species
ACAACUUUCAGCGACGGAUAUCUCGGCUCAGGCACCUAUGAAGGGCGCAGCGAAGUGCGAUAGUCUUUGUGAAUUGCAGAUCUCCGUGAACCAAUGGCCCCUGAACGCGCAUCGCACUCUUGGGACUUCCUGAGAGUAUGUUUGCUUCAGUGCUU